AUGUUGGCUGUAUGACAAGUUUGCAGCCGACACCUCACAGGUCCAGUGUGAUACUUUUGCAGCCGACACCUUACAGGCUACGCCACCUGAGUUUCUUGCCCCGCAAAGUGUCGGCUGCUUAUAUAAACUUACACAAAUCACAUUUUCGA
ensembl:ncRNA Y53F4B.55 ncRNA